AAUAAAAUGGCUGAGUUUAAGCGAUAAAUUGUAAAUUUAUUAACGAGAAAAAAAAAAUCUCUUUUAUUA
rnacentral:tRNA from 1 species